ACAGACCACAACAGUACGGAAUGUCCCUCCACAGCUACGUUAGACUUUGGCUGUGACAUCAACAUUAGUUUAUUCCAUCAGCACUUCAUUUGAUGAAAAUUUCCCCUGCAAACUGCUUACCAGAGGCUUCAAAGGCUUUUGCAUUUCCCAGAGGAGCUCCAUUGUCUAUUAUUACUCUUCAAGAACAAAGAGAAACUGCAGUUUUCAGUGUCCUCUGAGUUAGUGUGCCUCUGCUCUUGCUUGUGGAGGAAGGUGAAGAACAGGAACUGCCUGCCUGGGCAAGCUGUGUCCACCAAACCCUGGCAAAGGUUUCCAGCCAUGGCUCAGUGUCUGUAGUCAGGCAAAAACCUUAGUGUGUGCCAGGAGGGGAAAACAACAGCAACUGAAGGCUCAGGCAGAGCUGCCUUAGUCUGUUCCAGUGCUUGGCUCUUGAUUAUGCUGUGGUGAAAUCUGGAUCCAGUCUUCAAAGAUAAAAUCUUUGCUCUUAUA